GCACUUUAUCCUGAAUUAUAUUUAUUACCUGGAGUGGAAUAUUUUGAAGAUGUUUAUUCAUUACCAUCAUAAACUCAACAAAAACAUCACGUUAUUGAAGAAGCUAAUAGGUUUGGUCAAGAUUAAGAUGGAUCAAGAUUAUCCAGCCUUUCCCAGCAGAAACCUGAAAAAAGCAAACCAUUUUUAGAAAGUAUACAAAGCAGGCAUCAGAUUGAAGUGGAUCUGAUGGAUCUCUCUUCAUGCCAAGUCAUUCAAAUCCUGCAGAUCAGGAGACUGGAAAGUGUGACCUGGUAUUCCAGACCUCUGACCUCUGAUCUCAGCCCAGAUCAAGAAGACUGCAAUGCUCCAAAGUGGAAUGGCAAAACCAAAGGAACUGCUCUUUCUCAUGUAAACGCCAGUGACAAACAAAGCCAGGAACUAGGAAACAUGGAAAAUAAUGAGUACCAAAAAGAUACCAAAUUAAGAAGAGACAGAACACAGGAUGCUGAAAUUCUUAAAAUAAUGGAAGACCAAACUACAGAUUAUGUCCACAAAAAACAAAGCUUGCAGCAAAACAGAACUAAGAAGACUAGAGUUGGUCUUGGUGAAAAACUGGAUAAUCAGGCAAAUGAAGACAAGCAAAAUCAUCUUUCUUGUCCAAAAGGGUAUAUUUCACCUCCUAGUCCACCACUUUUGGCACUUACUGUAAAUCCAGCUCAAGUUCCUGCAGUUCCAGCAGCGAGUACAUGA
rnacentral:lncRNA from 1 species